UACAAAACCCUAGUCCCCAAAAUUUCUAUUUAAGCAAGAGAUAUAAACCCUAAUACUUUAUCAUCCCAUCUUUCCGCCUCCCUCUGUGUAUGUGUGUAUAGAUGUGUUGGUCAGGGUUCUCUAAUUGAUGUAAAUACUCAUCAUGGGGCAAAAAGUUUAUGCAGGAGAGUUGAGUCGCUUUGCCUCAGUACAGUUGCGCCAGGUGCAGUGAAUUUAGAUCCUGCUAAAUAUAUUCAAUUAUCACUUUUAAGUUUUUCUUCAUUUUCGUAUGAAAGAUAGAAAUUGGAUUGGGGAUUCCGAUGAUGGCAUGAAAUCUUUGAGACCUGAUUGUCUAAUUUGAUGACAACUACAAGCAUUUUCUUCUGAGGAUAUCCCCUUCCAAAAAU